rnacentral:tRNA from 1 species
GGCAUGGUACCCAAACGGUAAGGGAUCGGUCUGCAAAACCGUCAUUCGUUGGUUCGACUCCAAUCCAUGCCU